rnacentral:rRNA from 1 species
CCUACGGGUGGCAGCAGUGGGGAAUAUUGCACAAUGGGGGGAACCCUGAUGCAGCAAUGCCGCGUGGGUGAUGAAGGAUUCAGGUGCGUAAAGUCCUGUUAGCAGGGAAGAUAAUGACAGUAUCUGGACACUAAGCCCCGGCUAACUCCGUGCCAGCAGCCGCGGUAAUACGGAGGGGGCAAGCGUUACCCGGAUUUACUGGGUGUAAAGGGAGCGUAGGCGGCGUGGCAAGUCAGAUGUGAAACCCUGUGGCCCAACUCCGGGACUGCAUUUGAAACUGCCAUGCUGGAGUGCGGGAGAGGUAGGCGGAAUUCUUAGUGUAGGGGUGAAAUGCGUAGAGAUUAGGAGGAACACCAGUGGCGGAGGCGACUUGCUGGACGGUAACUGACGCUGAGGCUCGAAAGCGUGGGGAGCAAACAGGAUUAGAUACCCCUGUAGUC